GGAGGUAAUCAUGCUGCCAAGAAAAGCGUCGUAGUUUGCUGGUUCUCGCUCGUACCCCAAACCGACACAGGUGGGCAGGUUGAAUAUACCAAGGCGCUUGAGAGAAUGAUGUUGAAGGAACUCGGCAAAUUGCCCCCGUAACUUCGGGAGAAGGGGGCCCACCGUGAAGGCAACUUUACGGUGGGGGCACAGACUAGGGGGUGGCGACUGUUUACUAAAAACACAGGGCUCUGCGAAGUCGCAAGACGACGUAUAGGGUCUGACGCCUGCCCGGUGCCGGAAGGUUAAGAGGAGA
rnacentral:rRNA from 1 species